UAUUCCUUUAAAACAGUCCCGUGAGGCUGUCAAGGAGACUAAUCUGAAUAAGAGUGCGCAGUUGUGUCUAAUUGUGCCUAUAUUUCGCAAAUCUCCUUGUUAACAAGGAGAUUUUUUUGAUU
rfam:Streptococcus phocae strain ATCC 51973 contig_7, whole genome shotgun sequence.